ensembl:lncRNA extracellular matrix protein A-like
AUGAAGCUGCUACUUUCUGUCAGUCUCCUUUGGAUUUUCUCCAUUUCAGCUGAAGGACUCCAGUGUCUGAGCUGCACUGAUUCAACGUGUUCAACUAUAGAAUCUGUCACAUGUUCCACUGAGACAAUGUGUAUCACAGCUUCUAUUCUCGAGACCAGCCUACUAGUUUCUUCUUCAGAACUCAGUUUCUUCAAAGGCUGUGCAUCUUCCUCUCUGUGUUCAUCCACGGGCCCAAAGACAUUCUCAGUGGAUCUGGGUCUCUCUGGUAGAUUUAUAUCUGCUGAAUGCUGUGACACACACAACUGUAACUCUCAGACCUUACCCAGUCCUACUCCUCCUCAGUCUACUAAUGGUCUGCAGUGUUUCUUUUGUGGUUUUGGUCAGUGUCACAUUAUCGUUGACUGUCAAGGCGAGGAGGACAGGUGUAUUCAAGGAAAUGGUAUAUCGGGUAACCCAAUUCGCGGCUGUGCGUCUGCCAAUGUGUGCCAACCUGCACAAAUCGAUAGAGGGCUGCCAUUUUUUGAACAUCUUGCUGAGCUUACAUGUGGAACCACAUGCUGUGAUACUGAUCUGUGUAACAAUGGGACAACACAAGGACUCCAGUGUCUGAGCUGCACUGAUUCAACGUGUUCAACUGUAGAAUCUGUCACAUGUUCCACUGAGACAAUGUGUAUCACAGCUUCUUCUAUUUUUGAGAACAGAACAGUUCCUUCUUCAGAACUCAGUUUCUUCAAAGGCUGUGCAUCUUCCUCUCUGUGUUCAUCCACGGGCCCAAAGACAUUCUCAGUGGAUCUGGGUCGCUAUGCUAGAUUUACAUCUGCUGAAUGCUGUGACACACACAACUGUAACUUUCAGACCUUACCCAGUCCUACUCCUCCUCAGUCUGAUAAUGGUCUGCGGUGCUUCUUGUGUGAUUCUGGUUCAUGUAGUUUCAUUGUUACCUGUCAAGGAGAGGAGGACAGGUGUUUUCAAGGAACAGAUAUGAUGGGUAACCCACGUCGCGGCUGUGCGACUGCCAAUGUGUGCCAACCUGCACGAAUCGAUGGAAAGCUCCCAUUUUUUGAUGAUCUUGGUGAACUUCAGGGUGGAACCACAUGCUGUGAUACUGAUCUGUGUAACGAUGGAACACCACAAGGACUCCACUGUCUGAGCUGCACUGAUUCAACGUGUUCAACUACAGAAUCUGUCACAUGUUCCACUGAGACAAUGUGUAUCACAGCUUCUAUUAUCGAGACCAGACCAGUUCCUUCUUCAGAACUCAGUUUCUUCAAAGGCUGUGCAUCUUCCUCUCUGUGUUCAUCCACGGGCCCAAAGACAUUCUCAGUGGAUCUGGGUCUCUCUGGUAGAUUUAUAUCUGCUGAAUGCUGUGACACACACAACUGUAACUCUCAGACCUUACCCAGGCCUACUCCUCCUCAGUCUGCUAAUGGUCUGCGAUGCUUCGUGUGUGCUUAUGGUCAAUGUGGUUUAAUUGAUAACUGUCAAGUAGGGGAGGACAGGUGUAUUCGGGGAACAGAUAUGAUGGGUAACCCAAUUGGCGGCUGUGCGUCUGCCAGCGUGUGCCAAGCUGCAUCAACCAAUGGAGAGCUAUUUGGUGAACUUACAAGUGGAACCACAUGUUGUGAUACUAGUCUGUGCAACAACUGAAGUAUCGUUUAACAACUGCAUCAACAAAAUCUCCAAUAUUAUUCUCAAAGAUAAUCAAUCAUCUAUUUUAUUUCAGCUUUUGUAAUCAGGGGUUGUGAGCUCUCCAAAAAUAAAUAACUGGCUUUGAUGUGUUAUGAAAAGGCA